GCUACGGGAGGCAGCAGUGGGGAAUAUUGCACAAUGGGGGAAACCCUGAUGCAGCGAUGCCGCGUGGAGGAAGAAGGUUUUCGGAUUGUAAACUCCUUUUAUCAGGGACGAUAAUGACGGUACCUGAAGAAAAAGCUCCGGCUAACUACGUGCCAGCAGCCGCGGUAAUACGUAGGGAGCGAGCGUUGUCCGGAAUUACUGGGUGUAAAGGGAGCGUAGGCGGGACGGCAAGUCAGAUGUGAAAACUGAGGGCUCAACUUUCAGACUGCAUUUGAAACUGGCAGUCUUGAGUGGGCGAGAAGUAUGCGGAAUGCGUGGUGUAGCGGUGAAAUGCAUAGAUAUCACGCAGAACUCCGAUUGCGAAGGCAGCAUACCGGCGCCCGACUGACGCUGAGGCACGAAAGCGUGGGUAUCGAACAGGAUUAGAUACCCCUGUAGUC
rnacentral:rRNA from 1 species